UCGUGCGCGAAGCCUUCGGGCGAGUAAAGCGGCGAAAGGGUGAGUAACACGUAACCAACGUACCCCUCAGAUCGGAAUAACCUCUGGAAACGGUGGGUAAUGCCGAAUGGUCCCCUGGAAGACAUCUUCCGGCGGGUAAACGGUGCCUUCGGGUGCUGCUGGGGGAGCGGGUUGCGGCCUAUCAGCUUGUUGGUGGGGUAACGGCCUACCAAGGCGAUGACGGGUAGCGGGUCUGAGAGGAUGAUCCGUCACACUGGGACUGAGACACUGCCCAGACUCCUACGGGAGGCUGCAGUCGAGAAUCUUCCACAAUGGGCGAAAGCCUGAUGGAGCGACCCCGCGUGCAGGAUGAAGGCCCUAGGGUUGUAAACUGCUGUCACGCUAUAGGAACCCAUGGUCGUUAAUAGCGGCCGUGCUGACCAAAGCGAGAGGAAGCGCCGGCUAACUCCGUGCCAGCAGCCGCGGUAAUACGGAGGGCGCAAGCGUUGUUCGGAUUCACUGGGCAUAAAGAGCACGUAGGCGGCUCGCUCAGUCGGGUGUGAAAGCCCACGGCCCAACCGUGGAACUGCACCCGAUACUGGCGAGCUCGAGGACGGAAGGGGUGAGUGGAACUCCGGGUGGAACGGUGAAAUGUAUAGAUAUCUGGAGGAACACCGGUGGCGAAAGCGGCUCACUGGUCCGUCUCUGACGCUGAGGUGCGAAAGCUAGGGUAGCGAACGGGAUUAGAUACCCGCGGUAGUCCUAGCCGUAAACGAUGGGCACUAGGCAAUGGGCCGUCCUAUGAGGUUCAUUGCCGAGAUCUAAUGUGUUAAGUGCCCCGCCUGGGAGAGUACGCUCGCAAGGGUAAAACUC
rnacentral:rRNA from 1 species